CCUGAACUCCAGGGCUCCAGUGACCUACUCCCUCAUCCUCCCAAGUAGCUGGGACUAUGGAUCUGCUCUCACAGGAGGAUCUUGUCAAGACACAGACCCCAAGAUGUGACAAUUCCUGGGAGAUUAUGAUGACAGCUGGGUGAAUCUUGGUGGCACACACAGAGCUACAUCUACUACACUGGUUAGAACUUCCUGAUGAAGGGUCAUGUCCCCGCACCCAGGACUGGAGCUCCUCAGGCAGGAUGGUCAGGAAUUGUUCCAGCACC